rnacentral:rRNA from 2 species
UCUUGGCGGCGAAAGCUCCGGCGGCAGAUGAGCCCGCGGCCUAUCAGCUUGUUGGUGAGGUAAUGGCUCACCAAGGCGACGACGGGUAGCCGGCCUGAGAGGGCGACCGGCCACACUGGGACUGAGACACGGCCCAGACUCCUACGGGAGGCAGCAGUGGGGAAUAUUGCACAAUGGGCGCAAGCUUGAUGCAGCGACGCCGCGUGAGGGAUGACGGCCUUCGGGUUGUAAAUCUCUUUCAGCAGGGAAGAAGCGAAAGUGACGNUACCUGCAGAAGAAGCGCCGGCUAACUACGUGCCAGCGGCCGCGGUAAUACGUAGGGCGCAAGCUGUGCCCGGAAUUAUUGGGCGAAAAGAGCUCGCACGCGGUUUGUCGCGUCGGUUGUGAAAGCCCGGGAUUUAACCCGUUUCUGCAGUCUAUACGGGCAGAUAAAUUUCGUCGGAAAA